rnacentral:rRNA from 1 species
GAUGAACGCUGGCGGCGUGCCUAAUACAUGCGAGUCGAGCGAACGGACGAGAAGCUUGCUUCUCUGAUGUUAGCGGCGGACGGGUGAGUAACACGUGGAUAACCUACCUAUAAGACUGGGAUAACUUCGGGAGACCGUAGCUAAUACCGGAUAAUAUUUUGAACCGCAUGGUUCAAAAGUGAAAGACGGUCUUGCUGUCACUUAUCGAUGGAUCCGCGCUGCAUUAGCUAGUUGGUAAGGUAACGGCUUACCAAGGCAACGAUGCAUAGCCGACCUGAGAGGGUGAUCGGCCACACUGGAACUGAGACACGGUCCAGACUCCUACGGGAGGCAGCAGUAGGGAAUCUUCCGCAAUGGGCGAAAGCCUGACGGAGCAACGCCGCGUGAGUGAUGAAGGUCUUCGGAUCGUAAAACUCUCUUAUUAGGGAAGAACAUAUGUGUAAGUAACUGUGCACAUCUUGACGGUACCUAAUCAGAAAGCCACGGCUAACUACGUG